CCUUCGACGGCAAGAGCCGUCGCUCGCCCUCGCCAACUACUGCUGGAACCUCACUAGUGCGGUACCUGAGCCCUAAGCUGCCAGUCGCCACUUUAAUAGGUCUCAAAUUCAGUCCUUCGAAAUCAAGUUCGUGCGUGAAGCACGAAUCUUCAACUAGAAAUUUGAGAAGCUCAAACCCGCUGCCGAGGAGGUCGAGCACGUGGUGGCGCUAAUGCUUCCCCUGUGAAGGUCAAAGACGGUGUUGUGAUUGUCCUGCCUAACCCCAAGUUUCAAUUCGGGGAUUAUUCUGCAAGUGGUUCUUACUUCAAUUAAGGAUUGCGGCUUAAAUUGAUUUUUUUGGGUCUUCUCAGCCAAAACUGGAGAUGCUACCAUCAUCCACUGUUCUGUCUCUCGCCGGUGCUGGCACUGUACUAACGGUGAUUUUUUCCGGCGAAUUGGGUCAUCUCAAAGCCAAGUGUUCUCCCAGACCCAGAAAGGUUUUCAGCCGUUGGUGCAUAAAGGAGCUUUAUUUACAGCAACACUCCAUCAAUGGUUUCAAGUCCAAGAAGCAAAAAUCACUUUCAAGCUUCGCAUUCGGUAAAA